rnacentral:lncRNA from 1 species
CUGCAUUGCUGAAAGGGGACAGGCCCCAUUCUCAGCCCUCCCCAGAACAGGGCAGGGAGGACAACAGCAGAUGGUCACCAUGGAGCCUCAUCCCUGAGAGGCCCAAUGCAGGGGGAUGAUGCAGAUGGGGGAUAAUGCAAAUGGGAGGAUCGGUCUGCUUCAACAUUCUGCUCUAACCCCACUCCCUAAAGAGCUAGGCAGAAAAGUCCUGGGCUUAGAACAGGGGAGCAGGGCAAAGGCCUUGAAUAUUCCUUCAGCUAGGAGAUUGCUCUCUCUUCUCCAUUCAGCACAGAGCCAUACUCCCACACGCCGCUUCUCCACGCUGCUUUUCUCAGCCUGAAGGGGAGAUUGCAUGGCCUGCUCUCUUCUCGCAGGCAGGUAUCAAGAGCCACUUCUAACCUUAGAAGACCUAAAAUUCUAACUUCACCCUAUAUCAUUCUUCUAUAAGACAUACAAGGGGUGAGGAGCAGUCGACGAACCCCAGUUAUCCACAAUAGGUACUAGGAGAUCCUGUCUGGCACUUCCCAGGAAGGAAAUAAGGCAUGUUAUUGGUCCUCCAUCAGUCCCCCAAAGGGUGACUGAAGACAAGGAUUGAUUUAUCACUGGAUUACUGGCAACUGUGCCUAAGGAUGAAAAUAAGCUGGCUGAAGCCUAAGAAGAAGGUACCAACUGCAGACAGGUACCCAACCCAAAGGAUGGCCACAGGCCAAGGUCUUUGUCCUUACACAAGUUGGGUUUGUUUGUUUUUUUUUAAUUUUUGUAAAUUUAUU